rnacentral:rRNA from 1 species
AUUGAACGCUGGCGGCAGGCCUAACACAUGCAAGUCGAACGAGUGGCGGACGGGUGAGUAAUGUCUGGGAAACUGCCCGAUGGAGGGGGAUAACUACUGGAAACGGUAGCUAAUACCGCAUACCAUCGGAUGUGCCCAGAUGGGAUUAGCUAGUAGGUGGGGUAAAGGCUCACCUAGGCGACGAUCCCUAGCUGGUCUGAGAGGAUGCCCAGCAACACGGGAAAUGAGACACGGUCCAGACUCCUAAGGGAGGCAGCAGGGGGGAAUAUGGAACAAGGGGCGCAAGCCUGAUGCAGCCAUGCCGCGUGUAUGAAGAAGGCCUUCGGGUUGUAAAGUACUUGCAGCGAGGAGGCGUUACUCGCAGAAGAAGCACCGGCUAACUCCGUGCCAGCAGCCGCGGUAAUUC